rnacentral:lncRNA from 1 species
AAAGCAAAAUAAGGUAUUUGGGAUAAAUUGUCAAAAGGUCUGUCUGAUUGUUCUGUGUGGGAUGCUUUGGGGGAAAGCUUGAUGAAGAGACUUUAAGGAAAUCUCUGAAUACCAAGAGAGAUGCAACCGUGUGAAGAUCAGAGGAACAGAGGAACCAGCAGAGGGAAGAACUUGAGAAGCCUCAGAGAUGAGAUUUGGAUCAUCUUGUCUGUGGAUGUGACUAAGACUGGUAAAGAAGAGAAUCCCAUAGAAUUGCAGACAUUGGGAUUAGAGAUUCUGGAAGCUGUUUUUGAUGGUAAACCCAUCUCUAGUGAAACUCAAGUACAACCAAUACUGUAUCAGCUAAGAAGUGAAGUCUUUCGAAGCUCAAGAGGCCUCAUCUCUGUACAAAGAACCGAGGGAACUCUGUUAAGGGAACCAAACUUGCCCCUUUGAAGAAUCCACCAGCUAACAGGAUCAUCGGCCUCUAAAAUGUGAACGAAUGAGACUUCAUAUCAUUCAAUGAGCUUCCAGAUCUUCCAAGAGUGCCCCAUACACUGCACAGCAGAGACAAGCUGUCUUUGCUGGGGUCUGUCUGAAAUCUUGCCCACAGAAUCCAUGGACAUAAUCAGUGAUUGUUUUAUGGUAGCACAUUUUGAGAUAAUUUAUAAUAUGGUCACAGUAAUUUAAACAGAAGGGUAAACUCUGGGCCAUCAAUCUAACUUAAAGAGCUUUGUCUUAGUUUCUUUCCUGUUGCUGUGAUAAAAUAUCCUAACCAAAGAAACUUAAGGGAGUAAGGGUUUAAUUGGCUCACAGUUUCAGUUUACAGCCCAGCAUUGUGGGAAAGUCGAGGCAGCUGGAACUUGAAGGUCACAUUGCACUCACAGUUGGGCUGAAAGCAACGAGUGAAUGAGUGCUUGUGAGCCAUGCUUAGCAUUCACUUUCCAUUUUAUACCCUUCAUUUCACUUAGUGUAGUUAAGGCAAUUUCUCACAGGCAUUUUUUAGAAGUUAACUUUAGCCCCCUAGACAACCCCUCACAAGUGUGUCUCAAGGCUUGCCAGUUGACAACACUAAACAUCAUAGGCCCUCUCCACUGUGACAACAGAAUACCUUUCUAUUCUCUAACUAUUCCCUGAGGACUCAUUAUUGAAGCUCUAGGUAUCCUCAAUUUUGGUGCCCUAAGAAAAACUAUGCUCUUAUGCCUGUAGUCUCCCCUCCCCCAGCCUGAAACCUGCUUGCUCAGGGGUGGAGCUUCCCGCUCAAUCUUUCUGCCGGGCCUACUGCUGGAAUCUGCCGCUUUGCUGUUCGAAGCCAUCACGUGAUCACCCUGCUACUGGACCCCAAGAUUAUUUGGCGGGAAUUGGGUCCCUCCCCCUUCCUUUAUAACUGAGUGCCGAAAUAGUAAAAACUGAACCUUGAGCAGAGAGCUUUGUCUUGGUUCCUUCCUUAUCUUGCGCAGCCCAGCC